rnacentral:rRNA from 1 species
AACGAACGCUGGCGGCAUGCCUAACACAUGCAAGUCGAACGAGACCUUCGGGUCUAGUUGCGCACGGGUGCGUAACGCGUGGGAAUCUACCCUCAGGUUCGGAAUAACUCAGAGAAAUUUGAGCUAAUACCGGAUGAUGUCGUAAGUCCAAAGAUUUAUCGCCUGAGGAUGAGCCCGCGUAGAAUUAGGUAGUUGGUGAGGUAAAGGCUCACCAAGCCGACGAUCCUUAGCUGGUCUGAGAGGAUGAUCAGCCACACUGGGACUGGGACACGGCCCAGACUCCUACGGGAGGCAGCAGUGGGGAAUAUUGGACAAUGGGGGAAGGCCUGAUCCAGCAAUGCCGCGUGAGUGAUGAAGGCCUUAGGGUUGUAAAGCUCUUUUACCCGGGAUGAUAAUGACAGUACCGGGAGAAUAAGCUCCGGCUAACUCCGUG